GAAAAAGACACACCGGAGAAUCAGGCGGACCUACGUAAAAAAAGGAAAAAGCCUACUCACCCCUUUGUUCCAGGGCAGAGUGUGCUUAUCAAAAGCCUGAAGCCAACGAAGGUGGGAGAACCAAGAUAUCUUGGACCAGCCACUGUGAUCGCAGUAACCAG